GGGCUUGUAGCUCAGUUGGUUAGAGCGCGCGCUUGAUAAGCGUGAGGUCGGAAGUUCAAGUCUUCCCAGGCCCACCCACUUCGAUCGAGUGCAGCGCAUUCGUCUUCUGGUUACGGGGCCAUAGCUCAAAUGGGAGAGCGCGUAGUUUGCAAUCAUAAGGUCCUCUGUUCACUCCCGUUGGGGGGCAGCCAUGGUUGCCGCACUGACCACCGAAUUCUGUGCCCGGGGCAAACAGGGCGUGUCCUGGCAGGGAGCCGGCGGACGAGGUGCGUGCUUCGGUCGUAGACGGGGGUCCUCGCCCC
rnacentral:tRNA from 1 species